UACGGAAGGGGCUAGCGAUGUUCGGAAUCACUGGGCGUAAAGCGCGUGUAGGCGGCUUGGCAAGUCGGAUGUGAAAUCCCGAGGCUCAACCUCGGAACUGCACUCGAAACUGCCUGGCUCGAGUCCCGGAGAGGGUGGCGGAAUUCCCGGUGUAGGGGUGAAAUCCGUAGAUAUCGGGAGGAACACCAGUGGCGAAGGCGGCCACCUGGAAGGUAACUGACGCUGAGACGCGAAAGCGUGGGGAGCAAACAGG
rnacentral:rRNA from 1 species